GCCCAUAGCUCAGUUGGUAGAGCAUAAGACUCUUAAUCUCAGGGUUGUGGGUUCAAGUCCCACGUGGGGCA